rnacentral:rRNA from 1 species
AUACGUAGGGGGCGAGCGUUGUCCGGAAUGAUUGGGCGUAAAGGGCGUGUAGGCGGUUUAGCAAGUCAGAAGUGAAAUUCCCGGGCUUAACUUGGGCGCUGCUUCUGAAACUGCUUUACUUGAGUGCUGGAGAGGAUAGUGGAAUUCCUAGUGUAGCGGUAAAAUGCGCAGAUAUUAGGAGGAACACCGGUGGCGAAGGCGGCUAUCUGGACAGUAACUGACGCUGAGGCGCGAAAGCACGGGGAGCAAACAGGAUUAGAUACCCUGGUAGUCCGUGCCGUAAACGAUGAAUACUAGGUGUAGGGGGUAUCGACUCCCUCUGUGCCGCAGUUAACACAUUAAGUAUUCCACCUGGGGAGUACGGCCGCAAGGUUGAAACUCAAAUGAAUUGACGGGG